AGAUCAAGGAUAGAAUUAAACGAGCUGAAAAGAGGUUAAAACUUGGUGUCAAGAGGUUGAAACUUCAACCAGUGGUUAAAGAGGAAAAAAUAACAUAUUGCCGUCACUAUAUGAAUGGAAGAUGCCAUGAGGGUGCGAAGUGUAAAUUCUCUCAUGAUACGACCCCUUUAACUAAAUCCAAGCCAUGUUGUGUUUUUGCGCGCCACGCUUGUAUGAAAGGUGAUGAUUGUCCAUUCGAUCAUGAACUAUCCAAAUAUCCCUGCAAUAAUUAUCAAACAACGGGUUCUUGCAAUCGAGGUUCAGCUUGUAUGUUUUCUCACGAGGUAUUAUUUACAUCAUUUGUACUUAUCAUCUAAAUAUCUAAUUGAAGUAAAACGCCUUAUUUUCUUUAAA